GAUGAACGCUGGCGGCGUGCCUAAUACAUGCAAGUCGAGCGAACAGACGAGGAGCUUGCUCCUCUGACGUUAGCGGCGGACGGGUGAGUAACACGUGGAUAACCUACCUAUAAGACUGGGAUAACUUCGGGAAACCGGAGCUAAUACCGGAUAAUAUAUUGAACCGCAUGGUUCAAUAGUGAAAGACGGUUUUGCUGUCACUUAUAGAUGGAUCCGCGCCGCAUUAGCUAGUUGGUAAGGUAACGGCUUACCAAGGCAACGAUGCGUAGCCGACCUGAGAGGGUGAUCGGCCACACUGGAACUGAGACACGGUCCAGACUCCUACGGGAGGCAGCAGUAGGGAAUCUUCCGCAAUGGGCGAAAGCUUGACGGAGCAACGCCGCGUGAGUGAUGAAGGUCUUCGGAUCGUAAAAAUCUGUUAUUAGGGAAGAACAAAUGUGUAAGUAACUAUGCACGUCUUGACGGUACCUAAUCAGAAAGCCACGGCUAACUACGUG
rnacentral:rRNA from 1 species